AGAAGCAUUGAGUCAACCAGGAACAGUUUCCUUUAAGACUGUGCAGCUUUUGAGCAAACCUGGUGCUUGCACGCACAUGGAUUGUGCGCAGCAUCUGCAAUGCUCCUGCCUGCCCCCAUCCAGGCUGGCACCCACGGCCCGGCUGGAGCAGGAUGAGGAGGGACAGACCCCGAUGACCCCACUACAAGGGUGGCUCUGGAACAGCAGAGGAUGUUGUGGGGACAGAUGAAGGCUCUGGUGAUGCCUGGAUGCAGAGAGGAGCGAUGCCUUUGGGGACCAGCUCUCCUAUGUCUUAGAUUUGGGAAAAUAAAUCCCCUUUUCUCCUU